CCAACUCUAAAUCCAAACAAAUCCCAAAGCAAAUUACGCAGAUAUUUUUGAUUUCAUCACUCGAGUCAUCAUUAUAAGAGCCACAAACAUUUAUGAAUCAUUUAUUCACAUAACAACAUGUAUAUAUUAACCUAAAGCACAACACAACAACAAUAACAGUGGCGAAAUCCAUCUCCACAAAUUGUCGCCUCACCGAGCACAUCCGCACAACCGCCGUUGAAAUAAAUAAAUAAAACUUCAUGAACUAAUAAAAAGCCCAAUAAAUAAAAACUUCAGAACAACAAAUUUGCUACUCAGUAAAUCCACCACAUAAACUCUCCCAAACAUUCCACCAUUUCCUAUAGCCGAUUUUUCAUCCAUUGCCAUAAGCAAAACUUGCUCAGGUACUCUAAGAGGGUAAAAGAAACCCAAUGUCCAUAUACCUAACCGAGACUUGUUCUUGUAAGAACGCCAUCAGAGAUUGAAGAAGCGGGAGGUCUCGUCGAGGAGGAGGGCGGAGAUGGUCUGGUCGUUCGGUGGGGGCGGCGAGGGUGUGGGCGUGAGUUCAGAGUUAUGGAAAGAAGGGGGAGAGAUAAGAUAAAUUAAUGAGACGGCUAUGGGAUAGAGAGUUGUGUUUAGGUUAACG
rnacentral:lncRNA from 1 species